GGCAGGGUGGAUUAGUGGUUAUCACAUUUGCCUCGUGCUUCCAGGGUUGGGGGGUUCAAAUCCCCCCCUGCCC